UACGUAGGGGGCAAGCGUUAUCCGGAUUUACUGGGUGUAAAGGGGGCGCAGACGGCGAUGCAAGCCAGGAGUGAAAGCCCGGGGCCCAACCCCGGGACUGCUCUUGGAACUGCGUGGCUGGAGUGCAGGAGGGGCAGGCGGAAUUCCUGGUGUAGCGGUGAAAUGCGUAGAUAUCAGGAGGAACACCGGUGGCGAAGGCGGCCUGCUGGACUGCAACUGACGUUGAGGCCGGAAAGCGUGGGGAGCAAACAGG
rnacentral:rRNA from 1 species